rnacentral:rRNA from 1 species
AUGAACGCUGGCGGCGUGCCUAAUACAUGCAAGUCGAGCGAACGGACGAGAAGCUUGCUUCUCUGAUGUUAGCGGCGGACGGGUGAGUAACACGUGGAUAACCUACCUAUAAGACUGGGAUAACUUCGGGAAACCGGAGCUAAUACCGGAUAAUAUUUUGAACCGCAUGGCUCAAAAGUGAAAGACGGUCUUGCUGUCACUUAUAGAUGGAUCCGCGCUGCAUUAGCUAGUUGGUAAGGUAACGGCUUACCAAGGCAACGAUGCAUAGCCGACCUGAGAGGGUGAUCGGCCACACUGGAACUGAGACACGGUCCAGACUCCUACGGGAGGCAGCAGUAGGGAAUCUUCCGCAAUGGGCGAAAGCCUGACGGAGCAACGCCGCGUGAGUGAUGAAGGUCUUCGGAUCGUAAAACUCUGUUAUUAGGGAAGAACAUAUGUGUAAGUAACUGUGCACAUCUUGACGGUACCUAAUCAGAAAGCCACGGCUAACUACGUG